GGGUUGUGAGGUUAAGCGACUAAGCGUACACGGUGGAUGCCCUGGCAGUCAGAGGCGAUGAAGGGCGUGCUAAUCUGCGAUAAGCGCCGGUAAGGUGAUAUGAACCGUUAUAACCGGCGAUUUCCGAAUGGGGAAACCCAGUGUGAUUCGUCACACUAUCAUUAACUGAAUCCAUAGGUUAAUGAGGCGAACCGGGGGAACUGAAACAUCUAAGUACCCCGAGGAAAAGAAAUCAACCGAGAUUCCCCCAGUAGCGGCGAGCGAACGGGGAGGAGCCCAGAGCCUGAAUCAGCAUGUGUGUUAGUGGAAGCGUCUGGAAAGGCGCGCGAUACAGGGUGACAGCCCCGUACACAAAAGCGCAUGUGCUGUGAGCUCGAUGAGUAGGGCGGGACACGUGGUAUCCUGUCUGAAUAUGGGGGGACCAUCCUCCAAGGCUAAAUACUCCUGACUGACCGAUAGUGAACCAGUACCGUGAGGGAAAGGCGAAAAGAACCCCGGCGAGGGGAGUGAAAAAGAACCUGAAACCGUGUACGUACAAGCAGUGGGAGCACAGGUUUACCUGUGUGACUGCGUACCUUUUGUAUAAUGGGUCAGCGACUUAUAUUCUGUAGCAAGGUUAACCGUAUAGGGGAGCCGGAGGGAAACCGAGUCUUAAUUGGGCGUUAAGUUGCAGGGUAUAGACCCGAAACCCGGUGAUCUAGCCAUGGGCAGGUUGAAGGUUGGGUAACACUAACUGGAGGACCGAACCGACUAAUGUUGAAAAAUUAGCGGAUGACCUGUGGCUGGGGGUGAAAGGCCAAUCAAACCGGGAGAUAGCUGGUUCUCCCCGAAAGCUAUUUAGGUAGCGCCUCGUGAAUUCAUCUCCGGGGGUAGAGCACUGUUUCGGCUAGGGGGCCAUCCCGGCUUACCAACCCGAUGCAAACUGCGAAUACCGGAGAAUGUUAUCACGGGAGACACACGGCGGGUGCUAACGUCCGUCGUGAAGAGGGAAACAACCCAGACCGCCAGCUAAGGUCCCAAAGUCAUGGUUAAGUGGGAAACGAUGUGGGAAGGCCCAGACAGCCAGGAUGUUGGCUUAGAAGCAGCCAUCAUUUAAAGAAAGCGUAAUAGCUCACUGGUCGAGUCGGCCUGCGCGGAAGAUGUAACGGGGCUAAACCAUGCACCGAAGCUGCGGCAGCGA
rnacentral:rRNA from 1 species